rnacentral:lncRNA from 1 species
UUUAUUAAGCGAAAAGAUGAUACAACCUACGAAUUAAGUGCUUGUAGUCUUAUAGAUAUUGUUUGUCAUGAUGAAAAAAUAAUGUGGUCUACGUGUACAUAGUGAAAUGAAAAUCUAUGGAAAGUUUGUUGUUAGUGAUUACGAUUUUAAUUACAUUUCUAAUGAGUUUUCAAAGGAGUAAAUAUAAGUUUUUAAAAGUGAGUUGUGUUUAUUUCACUUUUG